CCUACGGGGGGCAGCAGUGGGGAAUAUUGCACAAUGGGGGAAACCCUGAUGCAGCGACGCCGCGUGAGUGAAGAAGUAAUUCGUUAUGUAAAGCUCUAUCAGCAGGGAAGAAAAUGACGGUACCUGUGUAAGAAGCACCGGCUAACUACGUGCCAGCAGCCGCGGUAAUACGGAGGGGGCAAGCGUUAUCCGGAAUAACUGGGCGUAAAGGGAGCGUAGGCGGCAGUGCAAGUCUGGAGUGAAAGGCGGGGGCUCAACCCCGGGACUGCUCUGGAAACUGUACGGCUGGAGUGCAGGAGAGGUAAGUGGAAUUCCUAGUGUAGCGGUGAAAUGCGUAGAUAUUAGGAGGAACACCAGUGGCGAAGGCGGCUUACUGGACUGUAACUGACGUUGAGGCUCGAAAGCGUGGGGAGCAAACAGGAUUAGAUACCCUAGUAGUC
rnacentral:rRNA from 1 species